rnacentral:tRNA from 1 species
GACCACGUGGCCAAAUGGAUGAGGUGCCUGACUUGGAAUCAGAAGACUGAGACUCCGAAUCCUUCCAUGAUCA